UCUAAGUAUAAACGAUUUAAUCGUGAAACCGCGAAUGGCUCAUUAUAACAGCUAUAAUUUACUUGAUCUUGACACAAUCCUACUUGGAUAACUGUGGUAAUUCUAGAGCUAAUACAUGCAUUAAAGCUCUGACCUCACGGGAAGAGUGCACUUAUUAGAACAAAACCAAGCGGCUUCGGCUGUUUCUGGUUGACUCAUAGUAACUGAGCUGAUCGCAUGGUCUUGCACCGGCGACGUGUCUUUCAAGUAUCUGCCGUAUCAACUUUCGAUGGUAGUGUAUCUGACUACCAUGGUGAUCACGCGUAACGGAGAAUAAGGGUUCGGCUCCGGAGAGUUCGCCUGAGAAAUCGCGAACACAUCUAAGGAAGGCAGCAGGCGCGAAAAUUACCCACUCUCAGCACGAGGAGGUAGUGACGAAAAAUAACGAGACCGUUCUCUUAUGAGGCCGGUCAUCGGAAUGGGUACAAUUUAAACCCUUUAACGAGUAUCUAUGAGAGGGCAAGUCUGGUGCCAG
rnacentral:rRNA from 1 species